CCUACGGGUGGCAGCAGUGGGGAAUAUUGCUCAAUGGCGGAAACGCUGAUGCAGCGACGCCGCGUGAGUGAAGACGUCUCUCGGUAUGUAAAGCCCUAUCAGCCGGGAAGAAAAUGCAGGUACCUGACUAAGAAGCACAGGCUACAUACGUGCCAACAGCCGGCGCGAUACGUGAGGAGCCAGCGUUAUCCGGCUUUCCUGGGUGUAAAGGGGGCGUAGACGGCGCUGAAAGUCCGGAGUGAAAGCUGAUGGGUUAACCAUGGUACUGCCGUGGAAACUGGGGACCUUGAGUGCGAGAGGGGCAUGCGGAAGUCCUGGUGUAGCGGUGAAAUGCAUAGAUAUUAGGCAGAACACCGGCGGCGAAGGCGGCCUGCUGGAGCGUAACUGACGUUGAGGCUCGAAAGCGUGGGUAUCGAACAGGAUUAGAUACCCUUGUAGUC
rnacentral:rRNA from 1 species